AUAAAGUUUGAUAAGAGGCUUGCAUGUUUGUUAUGUGUUCCAUAUACGUAGAGUGUAUACGCAGUGUUGGGCUGUGAAGAUACGUAUAAUCAUGUGUGUUAUUGUCGGCUAUAAUACAAGUACGUGUAUAAUAACUAUAGCCUGGGCUUAUACAAGGUCAAGGUACCGCCCCCUCUAAUGUAAUUAAGACCACCACUUGCUCUACUAAUAGUCCACUUGCGUAUGCUUAUUGCUAACCGUCAACUUUAACCUAUACAGCUAACUUCCCUCCUCUCAUCUAUAUGGUCCUCACAGCCUCUAUGUUACGCUGGGGGAAGAGGUGUUCAAUGUGACUGAUGACAAGGGCAGUAUCAACGUGAUAUUGGUGGAUGGACUGCCAGCUUGGGACCACUCUACUACUAUACGCCUAUACGCCCACACACAGGCACUGGGAGUACUACUGUUCAAGCUGUGCUUCAUGGAUACUCCAUUUAGUGACAACCCUCUAGCCUGGUGACAACCCUCUAGCCAUAGUCAGUGCUCAGUACAGCAUUCCUGAAGACUCCCUACACACAAGACCUGCACAACUUGAGAGGACCUCAAGAAAGAAGAAAAUUGAUUCUUCCAAGAUCAGUUCAGUGUAUUAUAAUAUCUAUUGAGAAAAAAGACUUGUGUACAUGCAUAUUGUUAUCUAUAUUGUUAAUGGUAGCGUUUUGUGGCUUACCAGGCCCUCAAGACAAAGAUGGAUCUGCCAGGAGGAUCUGGAUCUUGGAUAUUAUUUUCUCACACAUGAGGAAUGAGCGCGCAUGCGCAUUACAUCCACAGGAAUAAUUAAAGGGUGUGUCCAAAGAGAUCAAUUUCACAAAAAUAAUGGCUACUGCUAGCUAGCUGUUUUAACAUAUAUUUUCUGAGUAUUGUAGCAUAGAUAGUAGAUCUAUGAUUGUAGCUAACAAAAAGCUAGAGCUUUAGUGCAAGGCUAACUCGUGUUGAAUAGAAAGUUUGUGGGGACAGAUGAUGUUAUGAAAGAGACUGCAACAGCCUUCAAUGUGAGUCGAACUAGCCGUAACUGGAGAAAGAAGCUUAAGUUUGCUAAUCCUCGAAUCAAAAUCCAAGAGAACGUGGCUAGAAGCCUAUACAAGCUGUUAGCUUUUGUCGUAUUACAACAGUUGAGCAGUUACAGCUGGAACAGACACACACAGUCAGCUUUACAGUAUCCCACGUGCGGCUACGCCUCGAGGCAUAAUGAGCAUACAUUUUUAUUAUGAUAUCAUUAAUAUUCAGAUUUCUAGGGGGGGGGAUAUGUUGGCUGGGGGUAGGAAAUCCCGAAAUCCUGUUAGUAGUUUUGUUUCUUUAGUUGUGUGGGUGGCUGUAUUGCAUGUUAGUUGCAAUUAGUUGGCAACUGAACUCCUUUCAACAACUUGACAUGAUUCGCCAAUAUACCGUAGUAGAGAUGUCAGACCGGAAGUAGUGCGUGGGGAUAUUUUCGUACAGUAAUUCAAUAGUAAAAAACGGGACCAGAAAGUGAGUGAACAAGAAGGGCUUUCCGCAAGCCCUGGAAGAGUCUAGCAAACAACAGCUGUUCCUAAGGGUAAAAAAUAGCGUAGAAUUUGAUUUUUAUAACAGUUUUUUAUGAUUUUAGCUUGUUUUGUGUGUGAUUUUUUCUCAAAGGUGAUCAUCAUUUUGGCAACCAAA